rnacentral:lncRNA from 10 species
AAGUUAUGCUCUGUACUUACUCAAAAAACGUACAAUCUAAUUGGCAAUAAACAAAGGAAUGACCAUGUGGACCUCCCUAAGUUAGUGAGCCCUGGUUUGCAAAUAAGUGUUGCUUACAUCCUAACACAGGUUUGCCUCCGCCCCACCCACACUUCCUUCAGGUGCCAAGUCCUGCAGCUUGGCAGCCCCAGAGGCCUGCUGGCCCCAGCUUUUCACCUCCAUGGCCUCCUUACACAGGUGACCGCACUGGACUGGCCGGCCAUGGGGGACACACUUUUGUUCUUCCAUCAGUUGGGGUUGAUUAAUUGAAAGACAAUGACUUCUCGACUGUGCUUGUUUAUCUUCUUAAGUCCUCUUCCCCGCCGGCUCCCGUCCCCCUGCUUUCUAACCUCAGGAAACAUUUUCAUGAUCAAUUCAUUCUCUUGUAUCCUACUUUGGUAACAUGACUUUUUUUUUUCUACCGCUUUUCAGCUGAGUUGUGGAGUAGGCAGAACUUUAUUAUCUGACCUGGGAAGCUAACCACUAUGUGAUACUGUUUUCUGAGGAAAAUAUGUUAGAUUCCACAUGGUAACUUGACAAACAAACUUGAAACAUGGCUGUUUGAAAGCUGAGAUGGUUUGUGAGAAACAUUGUGAGGCAGUGUGGCGUGAUUAAUUGUCAGAUAACACCAGUAAGUACCUUUGAGUUUAGGGGAAGAAGUGAUUAGUGGCUAGAGAGGUCUGAGAAGGUUCCACUGAGGCAAUGAAACUAGCUAGUUCUUAAAAGUAGGGUGGCAUAUAGAAGAGAAAACAGAGUUUCUAGGCAUGGGAGAAGGGCAAAUAUGUGAUUCUCAGCUGAGGCUGUAUCUUUUAAAAUGUUUUGAAAAUACCUUUGUACAGAAAGCAACACUGGCCACACCUAAGAAAGCGAUGCUUCCACUCCCCCUCCUUGCCCUCACUUCUCUUUCCCCUCUCACACAGUCCCUUUCUCUCAAAGCCAUUCCCUCCCCAAGAUUUGUCUUGGUCCUGGACUUUUUGCCAACUUCUUAAACUUCACAUAGCUCUAGGUCCUUGAUAAAGUUCAUAGCAAAUUUAGAGUUGGAAUCUUAUGAGAAAGGAAAUACCACUCUCCUUUGGCUGUUUUCUUUGAUUCUAGAAGAAGCAAAGGACAUUUCUGUCCCAGGAAACUUGCCUCUCUCCAGAUGUUUGUUUUGAACAGGAUAUGCACACGGAAACAGCAACUACUAAUUCUCUGGCCAGAGUGCAUCAAGGCCUUAAUCCAAAGCCUCCCAUCCAUCCAGCUGUCUGGCAUUUGCUAUUAUAGGGCACCAACAGAGAAAUGAGGCUGUGGCUUUAUCACUGCACCCUGGGUGACAACUUGAUUUUCUCUUCCCUUUCUCAAGCUUAGGAAAUUUUUUAAAAGUUACGGAAAGGGCCCCAUAGUGCACUUCGGUUGGAAAGAACUGUGUACUGCACGUGAUUAUUUACAGCCAAGUGGAGAGUGACUGGAUCCUAAAUACAUGUUUCCGUCCCUCAGCCCCUGUGUUGGUCUGUUUGCUUAAUAAUGUAAUUAGUGCUCAGAGGGAGAAUAUUGACGCUGCUGCCAGCAGGCUUUGCUCUUCCGUGCGUUUCCGAACCGUUCCUUUUGCCCACUUGGCUUUUGCAUCACCUAGUUUGGUAGCUUCAGCUGUGCACCUAGCCAUGCCUACUCCGCCCCACACACUCCUCAGAGGCCCCUCUCCUAAUAGAAGCCCAACUCCACACUCCCCACCUGCGGGCUGUCUAGUUCUACAUUUGCGAGGUUCACAUCUUAAACGUUCAGAUGGAAUGUUCCUUGAGAGAAGCAGCUAUGAAGACCACCUCUAAUUUCUUUCUGACCUUUUAGUAAGGAAAGGUUGGACGUACUGCUUGCUGUGCAUUUCCCUAGCAAUGUCCCUUAUCUGGUAUUAAUCUGUCAGUGACUUGGGGCCCGACUCACUAAGACACUACCCAUCUUUUAAUGCAGUCUUGCUGGAGGCUGAAAAUGGUGCAAACUCCACUAUCUGGAAAUGGAACUCUGGGCUAAUACCUCAGCUCGGCAAUGUUU